rnacentral:lncRNA from 1 species
AGAAGCUGCAGAGCAACACAAAGGAUCCUGCGGGCUUGAACAAGGGGCUCGAACAAAAAGCAGUUACUCCACAGAAGACCAGAGGGGUCCUCCCAGCAUUGUGGCUCUAUGAGGAAACUGAGACCCAGAGAUGGAACUGGGAUUCAAAACAAUGUCUAGUGUGACUCCAGAGCCUUUCCUAACUCCUACUUAAAGCCUCUGAGGAAUGCUGAAAAGAGCACAGGACAUAGAAUCCAGAUUAAAAUGAUGAAAGUCAUCAACCUUAAAAGAAGCAAAAAAGAAGAGAAUUAGCUCCUCUGUGUAAUUUUUUUAAAUAUAGCAUCAAACCAUCUUCCCGUCAGCAACAGGCACUGCAGUAUUGAAGAUCAUCACAUGAGGGCAGAGGGCGUAAAAAAGGAUGGUGUGUUGAGACCAGAAGCAGCAGCAGUCCUCGACAUCAACUACAACUUUCCUUCGCACAGUGCAUACCCUCUGAUAUACUGAACCCAACGCCUAUCCUCCAGCCCCCUAAGAACUAGAGAGGGAGCCUCACAACAUUCCAAUUUAAUCCUUCAGAAAAUUCAUUACUCUUCAAAGUUGUCUGUGGUUUUGUGACAACGAUAUGACUAGGUGCAAAAUGGCUUGCAACUAAUUAACAAACAUAGAAGCAUCCAACAAACAUAUACGUGCACAAUCUGAGGAUUUAGGGAUGAAAUCAGUUAUCCAGGUUAGAUAUCAACAAAAGAGCAGUAAUUAUAAAGUUUCAUGAAGAAAGUGGCUGUUGAGGUGUGGAUUAUGUAAGUAAGACUGACAACAAGAAAUGAUUUUGUUAUAAUCCAGAAGUAAAACUAAAUAAAUGUUCUUUAAAUUGAUGGAUAAAUAAGAAAGAAUUUAUUUACAACAGUAAAUAAAUCCAAUACUUGUUAUAAAUAAGAUAAAGCUGGCUAUAAAUUCACAUUUUCAUGUGAGCGUUUUGAAGUAUGUGGACAUAAAAAACACACACCUCAAGCAUACUUCUCAAUGAUUUCUGAUAAAGAACACACCUUUGUAACCAGCACAUGGUGUAAAACCAGAAACAGAACAUUACCAGAUUCCUAAACAAGCCUUCUUUGUGCCCCUUUUUAGUCACUACCCUCCCCCAUUCAAGGUAACUUCUAUCUUGACUUCUAACACCACACUUUUAGUUUUGCCUAUUGUUAACUUGAUAUAAAUAGAAUGAUACUGUAUAUUUUGUGUGUGUUUGGCUUCUUCUGCUCCAACUUUUGUUGGUAAGGUUUAUACAGAUUAUUAAAUAUAGCUAUAGUUCAUUUAUUUCUAUUACUAUGCAGUAUACUUGGAUUCAGGAAUACACCAUAACUUAAUCAUCCAUUCUAUUGUUGACUGGUUUGGCAAUUUUCUAAACAUACGCAAAUUCUAUGAACCAGCAAUUCUAUCCCGUGUAUGUGUAUAUAUACACACAUGUUAAAUAUAUACACAGAAACAUGCUGUGAAAGUGCUUUGCAAAUGGCAAAAUGUAAAAUGUAAGGAAUGUUACCAAAGAGCUGAAACGCACUGUGUCUUUCUUGCAACACAGAUUCUUGGACAUAUCAGAUAAUAAAUGUAUUUUGUAUUGAAAAUAA